GCUGAACGGCGUGGCGGCGUGCCUAAUAGAUGCAAGUCGAGCGAACUCUGGUAACUGAAUGAAGGUGCUUGCACCUGAGUGAUGAUACAUUUGAGUGAGCGGCGGAUGGGUGAGUAACACGUGGGUAACCUGCCCUAAAGUGGGGGAUAACAUCUGGAAACAGGUGCUAAUACCGCAUAACAACAACUUCCACAUGGAGGAUGUUUGAAAGAUGGUUCUGCUAUCGCUUUAGGAUGGACCCGCGGCGUAUUAGUUAGUUGGUGAGGUAACGGCUCACCAAGACGAUGAUACGUAGCCGACCUGAGAGGGUAAUCGGCCACAUUGGGACUGAGACACGGCCCAAACUCCUACGGGAGGCAGCAGUAGGGAAUCUUCCACAAUGGACGAAAGUCUGAUGGAGCAACGCCGCGUGAGUGAAGAAGGUUUUCGGAUCGUAAAACUCUGUUGUUGAAGAAGAACAUGCGUGAGAGUAACUGUUCAUGUAUUGACGGUAUUCAACCAGAAAGCCACGGCUAACUACGUGCCAGCAGCCGCGGUAAUACGUAGGUGGCAAGCGUUAUCCGGAUUUAUUGGGCGUAAAGCGAGUGCAGGCGGUUUAUUAGGUCUGAUGUGAAUGCCCUCGGCUCACCGAGGAAGUGCAUCGGAAACCGGUAAACUUGAGUGCAGAAGAGGAGAGUGGAACUCCAUGUGUAGCGGUGGAAUGCGUAGAUAUAUGGAAGAACACCAGUGGCGAAGCGGCUCUCUGGUCUGUACUGACGCUGAGGCUCGAAGCGUGGGUAGCAAACAGGAUUAGAUACCCUGGUAGUCACGCCGUAAACGAUGAGUGCUAGUGA
rnacentral:rRNA from 1 species